AAGCAUUAAAGUCUAUUAAGACUUAAACAUAGACUAGUUAUGAUUAACCUUAACUAUCAAAGAGAAAAACUCAAAUCUUAGUCUUUCGAUUUAUAUGAUGAAUUUUUCAACAGUUAAAUUGUUUAUAUUCUGGUAUAUCUAAACACAUGUUUAGGUAGCACAUACAAUGUAUCAAGUCUUAACAAAAUCCAACAAAAUGUCGUACAU
rnacentral:lncRNA from 1 species